rnacentral:rRNA from 1 species
GAUGAACGCUGGCGGGGUGUAUAAUACAUGCAAGUCGAGCGAACAGACGAGGAGCUUGCUCCUCUGACGUUAGCGGCGGACGGGUGAGUAACACGUGGAUAACCUACCUAUAAGACUGGGAUAACUUCGGGAAACCGGAGCUAAUACCGGAUAAUAUAUUGAACCGCAUGGUUCAAUAGUGAAAGACGGUUUUGCUGUCACUUAUAGAUGGAUCCGCGCCGCAUUAGCUAGUUGGUAAGGUAACGGCUUACCAAGGCGACGAUGCGUAGCCGACCUGAGAGGGUGAUCGGCCACACUGGAACUGAGACACGGUCCAGACUCCUACGGGAGGCAGCAGUAGGGAAUCUUCCGCAAUGGGCGAAAGCCUGACGGAGCAACGCCGCGUGAGUGAUGAAGGUCUUCGGAUCGUAAAACUCUGUUAUUAGGGAAGAACAAAUGUGUAAGUAACUAUGCACGUCUUGACGGUACCUAAUCAGAAAGCCACGGCUAACUACGUG